rnacentral:tRNA from 1 species
AAAGGGAGACCUAAUUCAGGUAAAAGACGAAAAAAAGUAGUCGCUACCAAGAAUCAAUCCCAAAAGGUCGGAGCGAGGCGAAAUUGGCUUUCAAACUAGGUUCUGGGUUCAAACAAGACCUGAAUCAGGAACAAGGGCUAUUAGCUCAGGUGGUUAGAGCGCACCCCCGAUAAGGGUGAGGUCCCUGGUUCGAGUCCAGGAUGGCCCACCUGCACAGGUGGCAAAAACAAGAGAAGCGAGGAAUCAGCACCUUAUCUUACUUAUAUAGUAAGAGAGAAUGCUGGCUCUGAGUAAAGAGUCCAGAGGAACCUUGAAAACUGCAUAGAGCUAGGUGAAAAAGCCAAAAAAGAAGACCGCAAG